rnacentral:rRNA from 1 species
GAUGAACGCUGGCGGCGUGCUUAACACAUGCAAGUCGAACGAGAAGUGAAGACGGAAACCUUCGGGCGGAAGGCUUUAUUUCGAGUGGCGGACGGGUGAGUAACGCGUGGGUAACCUGCCUCAUACAGGGGGAUAACAGUUGGAAACGACUGUUAAUACCGCAUAAGACCACAGCACCGCAUGGUGCGGGGGUAAAAACUCCGGUGGUAUGAGAUGGACCCGCGUUCGAUUAGCCAGUUGGCGGGGUAACGGCCCACCAAAGCGACGAUCGAUAGCCGAUCUGAGAGGAUGACCGGCCACAUUGGGACUGUGACACGGCCCAAACUCCUACGGGAGGCAGCAGUGGGGAAUAUUGCACAAUGGGGGAAACCCUGAUGCAGCGACGCCGCGUGAGUGAAGAAGUAUUUCGGUAUGUAAAGCUCUAUCAGCAGGGAAGAAAAUGACGGUACCUGAGUAAGAAGCCCCGGCUAACUACGUG